AACGUUAUUCCUCUGAGCACCUGCUUUUGUGCCCAGUGUGAACCUGCAGAGGAAGUGGGUUCCAGGCAACCGAGGCUGUAACACACACACACACACACACACACACACACCCCUCCUUUAAUGACCUGCCUGCAAUUGAUAUACUGCUAAGUAGCAUUUCUUGUACUGGGGAGAUUCUAUUUCCACACUAGCAGCAAAUUUGACCUUUGUGUCAGCUGCCAGCUGCUUAUAAUUCUGACAGAUGCAAGCACAUUUCUGGGAAGCUGUAGCCACUCAGGACCUUGCAGAUCAACAGGCAACGCUGGCGGCUUUGGAAACGAAACUGAACCCGAGACGGCCGGCCUUACAGGAAGUGCACAACACAGAUCCAGCGCCGGGCCUGCGGU
rnacentral:lncRNA from 12 species